AGUGAACGCUGGCGGUAGGCCUAACACAUGCAAGUCGAACGGCAGCACAGUAAGAGCUUGCUCUUACGGGUGGCGAGUGGCGGACGGGUGAGGAAUACAUCGGAAUCUACUUUUUCGUGGGGGAUAACGUAGGGAAACUUACGCUAAUACCGCAUACGACCUACGGGUGAAAGCAGGGGAUCUUCGGACCUUGCGCGAUUGAAUGAGCCGAUGUCGGAUUAGCUAGUUGGCGGGGUAAAGGCCCACCAAGGCGACGAUCCGUAGCUGGUCUGAGAGGAUGAUCAACCACACUGGAACUGAGACACGGUCCAGACUCCUACGGGAGGCGGCAGUGGGGAAUAUUGGACAAUGGGCGCAAGCCUGAUCCAGCCAUACCGCGUGGGUGAAGAAGGCCUUCGGGUUGUAAAGCCCUUUUGUUGGGAAAGAAAAGCAGCAGGUUAAUACCCCGCUGUUCUGACGGUACCCAAAGAAUAAGCACCGGCUAACUUCGUG
rnacentral:rRNA from 1 species